CGGGAGGCAGCAGUGGGGAAUAUUGCACAAUGGGGGAAACCCUGAUGCAGCAACGCCGCGUGGAGGAUGACNCAUUUCGGUGUGUAAACUCCUUUUAUAUGGGAAGAUAAUGACGGUACCAUAUGAAUAAGCACCGGCUAACUC
rnacentral:rRNA from 1 species